GCAGUAGCCGCGGUAAUACGAGGGGGGCAAGCGUUGUUCGGAUUUAUUGGGCGUAAAGGGUGCGUAGGCGGUUUGGCAAGUCUUGUGUGAAAUCUUCGGGCUCAACCCGAAGCCUGCACGAGAAACUACCGGGCUUGAGUAUUGGAGAGGUGAGUGGAAUUUCCGGUGUAGCGGUGAAAUGCGUAGAUAUUCGGAAGAACACCAGUGGCGAAGGCGACAUACUGGUCCAUUACUGACGCUGAGGCUCGAAAGCGUGGGGAGCAAACAGGAUUAGAUACCCGCGUAGUCCCUGUCUCUUAUAC
rnacentral:rRNA from 1 species